CAGGGGGUGCGGGGGGGGGCAGCAGCAGCAGCAUCUUGAUUGAACUAACGAGGUCAGACUCCGGAAUUUGGGGCAGUAAUAGCCGCGUGUCAGCAUUGCCGCUUCGGAGAACCUCGAGAUGCUUGGUCUCGCCAGCUGCAGCGCCAGACUGCUCUCUCAGCUUUUGAUCUGUUGGACGUGUGAAACUUGGCUCUAUUUUGUAAAUACGCUCUGAGCAGACUGCAUUGGGGGCUGCUCGGUCCUUGUUGGAAACUUAUUUCCCAGAGCUGCGCCUUCUUUUACUCUGCAGAGGAAAACAAAGCUUUGGAACCGUUCUCCUCUUGCUGCCAUGCAGAGUCAACACUUUCAACAAGCUGUCCAUGACGACCACAAGAUCUCAUUCCUGAUCAGACACCGACAGCUCAGAUUCCAUCAGUAUAUGCGUGGCUGGGUGUGUGUUUUUUGCCCAAUAUACAUCACUUUACACUUGCUUA